rnacentral:snRNA from 1 species
GUGCUCGCUUCAGCAGAACAUAUACUAAAACUGGAACGACACAGAAAAGAUUAGCAUGGCCCCUGCACAAGGAUGACAUGCAAAU